GGACCUCAGGUCAGACAUGGCGACCGACUGAUUUUAAACAGAUUAGUCAGCGGAGGAGGAGAAACUAACCAGGAUUCCCUCAGUAACGGCCAGUGGACAGGGAAGAGCCCAGAGCCGAAUCCCCGCCCGGUGGUGGGGCGUACGGAAGACCCACUCCCCGGUGCCGCUUGUGGGGCCCAAGUCCUUCUGAUCGAGGCCCAGCCCGUGGACGGUGUGAGGCCGGUAGUGGCCCCGGCGCGCCGGGCGGGGUCUUCCCGGAGUCGGGUUGCUUGGGAAUGCAGCCCAAAGCGGGUGGUAAACUCCAUCUAAGGCUAAAUACCGGCACGAGAUGGAUAGCCAAGUACCUAAGGGAAAGUUGGAAAGAACGAGAGUUCAAGAGGGCGUGAGACCGUUAAGAGGGAGACGGGUGGGGUCCGUGCAGCCCCGGGAGGAUUCAAGGGGCAGGGGCCGGCGGAUCUUUCCUGCCCCCGUCCUCCCUCCCCCGCCAUCCCUUUCUCCCCUGGGAGGGGGA
rnacentral:ncRNA from 1 species